CCUACGGGAGGCUGCAGUGAGGAAUAUUGGUCAAUGGGCUUACGCCUGAACCAGCCAAGUCGCGUGAGGGAAGACUGCCCUAUGGGUUGUAAACUUCUUUUAUAAAGGAAUAAAACGAGGCACGUGUGCCUUUUUGCAUGUACUUUAUGAAUAAGGAUCGGCUAACUCCGUGCCAGCAGCCGCGGUAAUACGGAGGAUCCGAGCGUUAUCCGGAUUUAUUGGGUUUAAAGGGAGCGUAGAUGGGUUGUUAAGUCAGUUGUGAAAGUUUGCGGCUCAACCGUAAAAUUGCAAUUGAUACUGGCAGUCUUGAGUACAGUUGAGGUAGUCGGAAUUCGUGGUGUAGCGGUGAAAUGCUUAGAUAUCACGAAGAACCCCGAUUGCGAAGGCAGCUUACUAAACUGUGACUGACAUUGAUGCUCGAAAGUGUGGGUAUCAAACAGGAUUAGAUACCCUAGUAGUC
rnacentral:rRNA from 1 species